GCCAGACUCCUACGGGAGGCAGCAGUGGGGGAUAUUGCACAAUGGGGGGAACCCUGAUGCAGCGACGCCGCGUGGGUGAAGGAGCGUUUCGGCGCGUAAAGCCCUAUCGGCAGGGAAGAAGGAGGACGGUACCUGACUAAGAAGCCCCGGCUAACUACGUGCCAGCAGCCGCGGUAAUACGUAGGGGGCAAGCGUUAUCCGGAUUUACUGGGUGUAAAGGGGGCGCAGACGGCAGCGCAAGCCAGGAGUGAAAGCCCGGGGCCCAACCCCGGGACUGCAUUGGAAACUGCGAGGCUGGAGUGUCGGAGAGGCAGGCGGAAUUCCUAGUGUAGCGGUGAAAUGCGUAGAUAUUAGGAGGAACACCAGUGGCGAAGGCGGCCUGCUGGACGAUGACUGACGCUGAGGCUCGAAAGCGUGGGGAGCAAACAGGAUUAGAUACCCCCGUAACA
rnacentral:rRNA from 1 species